rnacentral:rRNA from 1 species
GGGCGUUUACCACGGAGUGAUUGAUGACUGGGGUGAAGUCGUAACAAGGUAGCCGUAGGGGAACCUGCUGCUGGAUCACAUCCUUA